rnacentral:lncRNA from 9 species
AGUUGUGAGAGGCCUACACACUGGGAAUGCAACCGAGAGAUGCAAGUCAGCAAGUGCCAGCCGAGAACAGGAGUGUCUGGCCCCGGGUGGAUGCUCCUCGCUGUCUGGGCGCCGCUUCUCUGCCUGGGCCCGAUGUGAUGUGAUGGAAAUGAAUCAACCAACCUGAGAAACAGUCCUGUCCUGGUAGGAAAGAGAGGGAGAUUUGCGCAGUUGUCCAAUCGGAGCUGAAGACCAGCUGACGGAAAGAAGGGGCUUGAAAUUAGAGAUGGAGAUGGAGUCACGUGGGUAGGACUUAUUUUCCUUCGAAACUGAAAAGAAUCAAGUGUAUCUGGAAGCAGGGCCUAGAGGGUCUUUCCCACCCCGAUGCGUCUGCUAAGCCUGGCUUGGUCAUUUUUACCAAAACUACUCUCAGAACUCGUUCAACUCCUGUUAGAGAGAAUUAGAAGUCUGUGUGUUGAGCAUAGGAUUGUGUAACACAUGACUGUCCAUUGACGGACUGAUGAACGUGGAUAAACAUCUCUUCUUUGACAAGUCAAAAGCGCAUGGAAAGCUUGGUGCGUGGUGGACACGGAAACUCACUGGUUUUCUUUAAGGGGGGUUAUAGAGGGAGCGGAGAGACCCUCUGAUGAGUGACGCUUUUGCGAAAUAGAACCCAUCGGCCCAUUAGGUUUCCAUGUGUGCGCCGCUCAAUUUAUUCUGUGCAAUUUUUCCAGAAAUUAAAAGGUUACCCAGAGAGUACCAUGUUCCCAUCUCUGACCGAGCACCACUUAUUACUGCAACAGCAUUUCAGUAUGAAGUGAUCUGGCAGAUAUUUCAUCUUUCAUUUUGAGUUCUGAAUUGGAAUCAGCACGAGAAUGGCACGGCAGCAAGAUGAGGUAGAACAAACGUCCCAGGCAGGCAGCUCCAGGGCUGGGAGGGAACGUGUGGCUGAGGGGCCUUUCUCUUGCUGUUCUGGGCACCUUGUGGACAGGGACAUUUCGGUUGCAGCUAGAAUUUUAGCAAGAGCCUGCCAGAGGUAACAGGCUUCUGUUUGUAGUUGAUCCUAAGUGUCUCUUCUUUCUUCUUAAUGGCCACGUGGAGUACCUUAGCUCAACAUUCAAGGCAAAACGUUCCUGCUGCCCCACUGACAAUUUCGAACAAACAAAUCCCUGGGUUCACAUGUCACAGGGACGAAGGUUACUUAACGAGAUUCUCCUUUGUUUAGACCUAUCGAUACCAGUAGCUUCAGUCCUGUGCUAUUUUUUUAAUGUCGUGCCUGCAUGCUUGCGCGUGUUAAAAUGCCAACCAAAUCGCAUCCCAGGAAGUUCAAGUAUACGCCUUACAGGUUAACUUAGGAAAUUGGUUUCAAAUAGACACGGACAGUCUCAUUAUGCCAGUGAGGGGCAUCUAUGAUAUAAAGGGGAAAUUCUGUAUUUAUUUCCAAAUUGUUGGAAAACUGUGGGAACGCAAAGAUUAUGAGGAAAAUGCCAAAAGCCACAUUAAUGAAGAAAAACAAUGUUGAGAUACUUUUGAAUAAUAGAUGGGAUAUGCAAUGGUCAACCACAAGAUAAAAUUUUUACACAGUAUCUUUAUGGCUUUAAAUUGGCUGCAUUGUAAACUAAGCUUAGUACUCUAUUAAGUCAUUAUACUUUUCAAUUAUUUAACGUUUCUGGCCAACCUAUCUUCUGUGGUCUUUCUCUAUACCCAUCAGAAAUAUGCACUGUAGUAAUUGCUUGUUGCUAGUGUGGGGACUUUGCAAUGGAGAAAGGUUUAAUUUUAACUUCUCCGGACAAAUACGACAAAGAACGCACGGAGGGAAAAGAAAAGUUAUGGUAACAGACUACGCCCUAUGCAAUGGAGAGACCUACAGCGUCCAAAUAUACCGAAUACAGAAUACAGUUUGAGCUAUUCUCACUUAGAAGCCUUGACAAUGUCUGCCUUCUAGGUACUAUGCAUUUGGAAAUACUCUAUCUCCAUUUAAAUGCAGAUCUUCUGUUUUCUCCAGGGAGCAGUUGGUGAAUCUUUCAGUUGAACGGCUGGUAUGAGAAAACCAACUGAAAUUUUCUCCAUGAACAAUAGACUGUCGUUUUGAAGCAGUGAUUACCAAGUUUCAUAAUACAGUGAUUUUUGUAUUCGCCUAAAAUAUCUUUAUAAAGUCAAAAUAAGGUACCUCUUGAGCCUCUUGCACCAACAGAGACAUUUUCUCAUGUCAUUUUGUUGUCAGUUUUUUAAAGCGGUGAAAUAACUCUGCUUUGCAGUGGAGUUUUUAGGUGAGUGGUUGCCAUUCUGGUAGAGUAAGCAGACCUUAGGCCUCAGAGUAGGGAAUUAGAGGCUGGUUGCACGUGCUCCUUACCCUCCUGGGUGGAUGGGGCGAGGUGCUGUAGGGAAGUCUAAGGAUCUUUUUCUGGAACCAUCUUCUUUGGAUUAUUUUGAACCUGAUUUACCGUAGUACUUUGUAUUGGAGUCCCUGGUAGUGGUGGCCAGGAAGGAAAGCCAGAGCCUGUGAGGUAUGAUUUUAAGACAUGAUUUUGCAGAAAGUAAUUCCAUCUUUUGAAAUAGCAUAUAGAACACACAGCUUCACGGUUUUGGAUCUUUAGAUUCAGGUACCUGGAAUCAUCUUUGCAAAUCCAUAAAAGUUCCUGAAGUCCAGACUGUGAAGAUGCUAAGACUCCAUGUGUCUUUAUGGCAGAGCUAGGGAAGUUUUUUUUGUUUGUUUGUUUGUUUGUUUUUCCUUUUCUUUUGUUUUUGUUUGUUUGUUUGGCUUCAUUCAUGACAUAUCGAAUUUCCCAGGCCAGGGGACUGAAUCUGCGCCAUAGCAGUGACCUGAGCCACAGUAGUGACAAUGCCAGAUCCUUAACCAGCGAAGCCAUCAGGGGACUCCAAAGUUUUCUCUUUUUUUUUGGAAAUUCGAUACCGCUUAUUUACUCAGCCCUGAAUGAUUUCCAGUUGUGAAGGCCCCACCCCUUGGCUAACUUCUUCCAUCAUAAUGGGUGUAACGCCCUCCUCCCAUUCUCCCCUGAUGUGUGCGCCAUAUACAUGCUCCUUAUGCUGUGUUUAUGCGGAUAUGCUGGAUAUUGCCUGCGGUUGUGAAGAAGAAUCGUCAGUAGUUUUAAAUCAGGCGUCUGUUUAUAUUUCUAUUGUGAAGGAUUCUUUGUUCAUGCCAUGACCAGGCUUACCACAAAAGAGAGUUAAAUGUGCUUAGAAUUCCUGUGAUAAAACGUAAGACCCUGGAGGAUGAAAGCUACUUUAUUGACUUAGGGACACUUAUGGCUGUUUCGGAUGGCACAUCUGCUAAAAUAAAUAACCUGGAUAGGACUCCAUAAAGGAUGCUAAUUAAUGAAUGCGCUUCUUUUGCUUGCCUUAUACAAAGGAUUUUUUUUUUUAGUUUGAACUUGGCGAAUAUGCACGUCUGACAUAAGGAUCUCUUACUGUCUUGAAGACUAAAUUCAAGAUGAUAACUUUCUUUCUAUGAAGCAUCGUGGAACUCGUGUACUUCUAUUUUAAUACUUAUGGGGUAGGAUAAACAGUGUUUCUACGUAUCUGUGUUCCCAGAGUGGCCCACUUAAAUUCGAUCUCACUCUAAGAUAUAUUAGAUUAAUAAGGCUGAUUUUAUGACCAGUAUAAUUUAUAGUCACAAAUACUUGUUUUAAUUAGCACAAUUAUAGAUGGUGGGGCAAAUUUCCAUAUAUGUUAACUACUAAGAACAAUAAUAACUAACAGUCGUAUGGUGUGUUACAGUUUAUAAACAUCCAUUAUCCAGUUGUUCUAUGGAAGACUAUCUAUUGCAUUUUCCUGCUCCAGAAGACAGUUUUACAAUGUCAGCAUGCUAGGAAUAGAGAUUCUUUUCCCAGAGUUUUCUUCCUCUCUCUCUUCCUCUUUCCUUCCUCUGUCUUCCUUCUUUUUUUCCCUUCCUUAAUGGGGAAAAUCUAUUGAUGUGGUUUUUUUUUUUGUUUGUUUUUUGUUUUUUUCUUUCUUUUGGUGGAGCGCGUAUAAUUGCUUAUCAGACAUUUCUGUUAAGAAAGGAGCCGUAACAAGCAAUGCAACAUGAUAUUUGGAAUCUGUCUUCUGCCUACCCGUGUUCUUGACGAAAACAUAAGGUUGCAGAAAUCAUUUCAUGCCCUGUAUGUUUUCAAACAUAAAUCAGGAAAAUUGUUAGCGAGUUAUAGCUCUUCUUAGAGACUGUGGCUAUAGAGCUCCAGUAAACACAGGCUAUAUAUUUUUCCAAGUUAUUAUGUGUGGCCUGAAAUCCAAAGUUAGCUAUUUAGAUGAACAGUUUAAUUCCAUUAUUAGAAAUUCAUUUUCUAUGGAGGAUGAACAUUUAUUUUCCAAAGGUUGCAGAUAUGGGACAUAACACCUGAUGACCCUCUGGAUCCGUCACCUUCAAAGUUAGAAAUUCGUGCUUUUUCGUUAAUGUGUAUGUGAGUGAACAUCCAUCUUCAGCUAAGGAACCGUCAGAAUGCUCCUGAGCAGAGGUUAUAGCGUGAUCUGGUUGUCCUCUUCAUCCCAGAACCAGGGCCCUUUGUUUCUUUAUUUCUAAAAUGAAGGGAUAUGACUUGAUGGCCUCCAGUGAUUCUGAGUUAAGCAACUGAUUAUUAAUGAGUAAGCCAAUUAAUUUGACUCCUGUUUAUUUCUAUUCAAUAAACUAAUUGUUUACACAAAUAUGGCCUUCUGCCAUGACCAGAGCAGUAAAUGAGGCCAGGUUCAGGGGUUUGAAAUAAAAGUCUCAUGACAUUUAGACACUCACAUUUACACUGUAAUUUUUCAUUUGUAGAUUAAUUAUUAGAUAUAUCUUUUUUUUUCAGAGGAAAUAAUCUCAAAUGCAGAUUACUUUUCUAGGCUAGACCAUAAACGAUUAUGUUACUUACUGGAGUGAAUUAUUGUAUAUCAGUGAUGAAAAAAAUGUGAAAACCAUUCUGUGAUAAUAAAAGUGAUAAACAUAACAUAAAG